rnacentral:rRNA from 1 species
AUUGAACGCUGGCGGCAGGCUUAACACAUGCAAGUCGAGCGGAGAGAGGUAGCUUGCUACUGAUCUUAGCGGCGGACGGGUGAGUAAUGCUUAGGAAUCUGCCUAUUAGUGGGGGACAACAUUUCGAAAGGAAUGCUAAUACCGCAUACGUCCUACGGGAGAAAGCAGGGGAUCUUCGGACCUUGCGCUAAUAGAUGAGCCUAAGUCGGAUUAGCUAGUUGGUGGGGUAAAGGCCUACCAAGGCGACGAUCUGUAGCGGGUCUGAGAGGAUGAUCCGCCACACUGGGACUGAGACACGGCCCAGACUCCUACGGGAGGCAGCAGUGGGGAACAUUGGACAAUGGGCGCAAGCCUGAUCCAGCCAUGCCGCGUGUGUGAAGAAGGCCUUAUGGUUGUAAAGCACUUUAAGCGAGGAGGAGGCUACUUUAGUUAAUACCUAGAGAUAGUGGACGUUACUCGCAGAAUAAGCACCGGCUAACUCUGCGCCAGCCGCCGCGGUAACAC